GGUCCUAUAGUGUAAUGGUUAGCACGUUAGAUUCUGAGCCCUAACUCUAGCAGGGAGAUCUCUUCUGGAAAUGCCGGUUCGAUUCCGGCUAGGACCU